rnacentral:lncRNA from 1 species
UGGAAGAAGGGGCAGAAUAGUAUCAAAAAUGCUUCACUCCCAGGAAUGUGGUGAGCAUAAAAUUAAAUAAUGAAAAAGUCAACUAUAAAGCACUAAAUAAAUAUAAGAUGGUGAAUCUGACAGAGGAAGAAUUAAAUGACUUGUUCAAGGUCACCUUUGAGGAAUUUGCAGGAAGUUUAACUUAUGUAUAUUUUUCCCCUGUAGUACCCCAGAUGGAGUCUCACUCUGUCGCCCAGGCUGGAGUGCAGUGGCACCAUCUCGGCUCACUGCAACUUCCGCCUCCCAGGUUCAAGAGAUCCUCCUGCCUCAGCCCCACUAGUAGCUGGGAUUACAGGGAAAUCUAUUAUGGGAUGGCCUGGAUAUAUCACUUUAAAAAUCCUGCUUUUAAUGAACAAAUGAGAAAAGAGAUGAGGUUUCACCAUGCUGCCCAAGCUGGUCUCCAACUUCUGGGCUCAAGCGGUCUGCCCUCCUUGGCCUCCCAAAGUGCUGGGAUUACAGACCAAGAAAUUGAGCUACAGUGAGGUCACACAGCCGAGAAUCACACAGUGAAGAGUUGGGAUUUGAGCCUGGAAUACUCUGACCUCAGAGUCUGGAUGCUAGUCUCUUGCUGCCUCCCCUGUGUUAUGAGGUCAUGUCUAAAUCACCUCCGUUACUGAAAAUGCUUGUGAAAGACCUAUUCUGCUGGAUAGAGCAGUCACCUUAGUCAAAUAUGAUCCAAAUGUUGCCAUUAGGUCCUACCCAACCCCAUCAAAGAUCAGAACCUGGAGGUGUGGUAACUCCCUCCAGUCCAG